rnacentral:rRNA from 1 species
UACAGAGGGCGCGAGCGUUGUCCGGAAUCACUGGGCGUAAAGGGCGCGUAGGUGGCUCGCCAAGCGUGCGGUGAAAGCCCGGGGCUCAACCCCGGGUCGGCCGUGCGAACUGGUGAGCUCGAGCGUGGUAGAGGCGGGUGGAAUUCCGGGUGUAGCGGUGGAAUGCGUAGAGAUCCGGAAGAACGCCGGUGGCGAAGGCGGCCCGCUGGGCCACGGCUGACACUGAGGCGCGACAGCGUGGGGAGCAAACAGG